AGAAGUGCAGCGAAAAAAGAAUAAACCUGUCACUUAUAUACAUACAGUGUUUCAUUUUUUUAUUUCCAACAUACUUCUGGCAUUUUGCUAUUUUUUAACAUUUUACGCAUUUUUCGUGGGCGAUGACAUUGCGAAUUCAAUUAUCUUCUAUUUUCAAUAUGCCAUUUUAGAUUUGAGGUUAUAUUGUCAACCUCAAUCUGAAAGAAGUAUAGCUCUUGAUAGAUAUGGUAGAAGACAAAAAAUAUGAGAUUGCAAGUCGUAUCGAGUGCGAUGGAUACCAUGGUACGUUAAAAUACGUCGGGCCCGUGGGAGAUACAAAAGGAGAAUGGUUGGGCAUAGAUUGGGAUGAUUUGACUCGUGGCAAGCACAAUGGCACGUACCAAGGAAUAGAGUAUUUUCAAGCCAGACAUUCCACAUCAGGCUCGUUUAUCCGACCAGGCAAAGCUAAGUUUGGAAUAUCUUGCCCAAAGGCCAUUGAGAUGCGUUAUGGGUUGAUUAAUGAUGAAUUUGCAGGCAUAAACAGAGAUGAGAUAUCUAGUUUAAGGAAGGAGAUCAAUGCACCGUUCUUAGAACUUGUCGGUUUUUCUAAAGUGAACAGAAAGCAAAGUAAAUUUGACGAGUUAAAAAUAGUAUGGUUAAGGGAACAAUAUGUGAGCGAUGCAGGAAAGCCAGGGGAAUUGAAAAACUUGUGUCCGAAUAUAGAAGAGUUAGAUAUAUCAAAAAAUUUAAUAAAUUCAUGGAAGAUUGUAAUAGAAAUAUGUUCUCAGCUUCAUCUUCUUGUGCGUCUUAAUGUCAGUGAAAACUAUCUGCCCAUUAAAGAUGUGACAAGAUGGAAAGAUUUAUUCGCAACAGUUAAACACUUAACUCUAGCUAGAAUGAAUUACAACUGGUCUGAUAUUCAGCAGUGUAUAUCUAUGUUUCCAUCGAUUGAGGAACUUUCCAUAUCCUUCAACGUCGUCAAGAUUAUAGAAGACAUACCAGCAAAUACUAAUUUAAUAAAGAUAGUCACGUUAAUACUCGAAGGAAAUUUAAUAUCAAGUUGGGACGAGAUACUUAAAUUAGGUUUCCUGCCGUGCUUGGAAUAUCUUAAUUUAAACCUAAAUAAACUAGACAAUAUUAGAUUUCCAUCGCCAACGUUAACAAAUGAUGCCAAGACUGCACUUUUUCCUUCUUUACGUCAGCUACACAUUUCGGAAAAUCAUAUAUCUGAGUGGGAAUCAAUUAGUGAAUUGGAUAAGCUAUUGAAUCUAGAAGAUUUAAAAUUUCGAGAAAAUCCUAUUUUGAAGAACGAGACUGCAGAGACCGCGCGACAAUUAAUAAUUGCAAGAAUAGCGAAAUUACAGAUGUUGAACAGUAUAAAAAUAUGUAAUAAGGAAAGAAGAGGCGCUGAAUAUGAUUACUUGAAAUUAUAUCUGCCAAAAUGGUCGGAAACUGAAAAUAAUCCAGAGAAGAGGAUAUCAUUUGUAAAUGAACAUCCGCGAUAUCCGACUCUAGUCGAUAGUACGUUACAUUCUCUGUAAUAGUAAUAUCUAUCCAGGGUUGGGUAACUUAAUUGUUUUCUUCAGCCAAGUUAAAAGUUAAUAACUAUUUCACUUGAAUACGGAACUGCAGAUAUUCCCUCGACUAAGCCAAAAAUAGAAAUGAUUUCCAACGUAAUCACGGUAGAAUUUCUAUGUCCGGACGAUCCACGUCAGCCAA
rnacentral:misc_RNA from 1 species